rnacentral:rRNA from 1 species
AAAGAUUAAGCCAUGCAUGUCUAAGUAUAAGCAAUUAUACGCGAAACUGCGAAUGGCUCAUUAAAUCAGUUAUCGUUUAUUUGAUAGUAUCUUCCUACAUGGAUAACCGUGGUAAUUCUAGGGCUAAUACAUGCUAAAAAUCCCGACUUCGGAAGGGAUGCAUUUAUUGGAUACAGAACCAACGCCCUCUGUGGCUCAUUGGUGAAUCACAAUAACUCCGCGGAUCGCACGGCCUUGCGCCGGCGAUGGUUCAUUCAAAUUUCUGCCCUAUCAACUUUCGACGGCUGGGUCUUGGCCAGCCGUGGUGACAACGGGUAACGGAGGGUUAGGGCUCGACCCCGGAGAAGGAGCCUGAGAGACGGCUACUACAUCCAAGGAAGGCAGCAGGCGCGCAAAUUACCCAAUCCCGAUACGGGGAGGUAGUGACAAUAAAUACUGAUCCAGGGCUCUUUUGGGUCUUGGAAUUGGAAUGAGUACAAUUUAAAUCCCUUAACGAGGAACAAUUGGAGGGCAAGUCUGGUGCCAGCAGCCGCGGUAAUUCCAGCUCCAAUAGCGUAUAUUAAAGUUGUUGAGGUUAAAAAGCUCGUAGUUGAACCUUGGGCCUGGCUGGCCGGUCCGCCUCACCGCGUGCACUGGUCCGGCCGGGCCUUUCCCUCUGGGGAACCGCAUGCCCUUCACUGGGUGUGUCGGGGAACCAGGACUUUUACUGUGAGCAAAUCAGAUCGCUCAAAGAAGGCUCUCGCUCGGAUGCUUUAGCAUGGAAUAAUGGAAUAGGACGUGUGGUCUUAUUUUGUUGGUUUCUAGGACCGCCGUAAUGAUUAAUAGGGACAGUCGGGGGCAUCCGUAUUCCAUCGUCAGAGGUGAAAUUCUUGGAUCGAUGGAAGACGAACUACUGCGAAAGCAUUUGCCAAGGAUGUUUUCAUUAAUCAGGAACGAAAGUUAGGGGAUCGAAGACGAUCAGAUACCGUCGUAGUCUUAACCAUAAACUAUGCCGAUUAGGGAUCGGACGAUGUUUUUUUUUGACUC